rnacentral:rRNA from 1 species
AACGAACGCUGGCGGCGCGCUUAACACAUGCAAGUCGAACGCCCUGGGGCAACUCAGGGAGUGGCGAACGGGUGCGUAACACGUGGGUAAUCUGCCUCCGAGACAGGGAUAACUCGCCGAAAGGCGGGCUAAUACCGGAUAUGCUCACGACGCCGAGAGGCGAUGUGGGGAAAGGCGAAAGCCGCUCGGAGAUGAGCCCGCGGCCCAUCAGCUAGUUGGCGAGGUAACGGCUCACCAAGGCGACGACGGGUAGCUGGUCUGAGAGGACGGCCAGCCACACUGGAACUGAGACACGGUCCAGACUCCUACGGGAGGCAGCAGUGGGGAAUCUUGCGCAAUGGGCGAAAGCCUGACGCAGCGACGCCGCGUGUGCGAUGAAGGUCUUCGGAUCGUAAA